GACGAACGCUGGCGGCGUGCUUAACACAUGCCAGUCGAACGGAAAGGCCCAGCUUGCUGGGUGCUCGAGUGGCGAACGGGUGAGUAACACGUGGGUGAUCUGCCCCUAACUUCGGGAUAAGCUUGGGAAACUGGGUCUAAUACCGGAUAGGACAAUCGUUUAGUGUCGGUUGUGGAAAGUUUUUUCGGUUAGGGAUGAGCCCGCGGCCUAUCAGCUUGUUGGUGGGGUAAUGGCCUACCAAGGCGUCGACGGGUAGCCGGCCUGAGAGGGUGGACGGCCACAUUGGGACUGAGAUACGGCCCAGACUCCUACGGGAGGCAGCAGUGGGGAAUAUUGCACAAUGGGCGCAAGCCUGAUGCAGCGACGCCGCGUGGGGGAUGACGGCCUUCGGGUUGUAAACCUCUUUCGACAGGGACGAAGCUUUGGUGACGGUACCUGUAUAAGAAGCACCUGCUAACUACGUG
rnacentral:rRNA from 1 species